UACGUAGGGCGCAAGCGUUGUCCGGAAUUAUUGGGCGUAAAGAGCUCGUAGGCGGUCUGUCGCGUCUGCCGUGAAAACCCGAGGCUUAACCUCGGGCUGGCGGUGGAUACGGGCAGACUAGAGGUAGGUAGGGGAGAAUGGAAUUCCCGGUGUAGCGGUGAAAUGCGCAGAUAUCGGGAGGAACACCGGUGGCGAAGGCGGGUCUCUGGGCAGUAACUGACGCUGAGGAGCGAAAGCGUGGGGAGCGAACAGG
rnacentral:rRNA from 1 species